rnacentral:lncRNA from 12 species
CAGAAUAUCAAGUGUCAAUGAGCUGUCUCAUUUUUAAUCCCAACAUUGCAUAACUAUUAAAGCAAAACCCAAGAAACAUUUCCGAGCCAAAAUUCAAGUUUUUUCUGGGCUUCUAAUGCCAGUUGUUCUCCUAGAGUGUAAUACACUCUAACAAAAAAUUCUAGGAGCUGUUCUCCAAGUGUAUGUCUGCAAUUUCAAAAAGACUCACGCUGCCAUCUGCUUCUUCUGAUAAGAGACUCAUCUGUCUGCUGCAAAGAUACCUGUGUUGGAGAGAUCAUUCUGGAGGGGAUAUUGAGGAUGGAGUAGAGGAAGUGCCCAGAGGACUGCAUAAGGAAGAAAGUAUUCCCCAUGAAUGCCUUGAUUGUUCUGCACAGCCAGUUCGGGCCCAUCCUGUAAAUGCCUGCAGAUGCAUCACGCAGUCAUGUAAGCCCUUCCCUUGA